AUGAUCAAGAUACGAGCCCCGGAGCUGUACAGAGACAGCGGCGCCUACGAGGCGAGGAAGAGGCAGUCGCUGAGGGCGCGCUACAUCUACGGGCUCAUCUUCUUCGCCACCAACCUGCUGGCCUGGUUCAUCAGGGACUACGGGGCCAAGCUGCUCGGCGGACUGCACCAUAUCCCGGUCUGUGGAGCAGGGGACUCGAAAUGCUUCCGUUCUGGAGGGGUGCUUCGGGUUAGCCUGGGCUGCUUUAUAUUUUUCUGGGUGAUGUUUGCCACAACAUUUGGAACACGCAAGCUCCAGGGAGUUCGUAAUUCGUGGCACUCUGGAUGCUGGACCCUCAAGUUUCUGGUGUAUGCCGUGUCAAUCGUCACCCCGUUUAUCAUCCCUAACAUCUUCAUCCAGCUCUAUGGUGAAAUUGCUCGAAUGGGUGCCGGGAUAUUUCUCAUUCUGCAGCUUAUAAGCAUGCUCCACCUCAUAUCAUGGUGCAAUAAACGUUGGAUGCCAUAUGCUGGAUCAAAUCAAUGCGGCCUGUUCGGAUUGUUCUUGUCAACUGUCUCCUUCAUUGCCUCAUUUGCCGGAAUCCUCGUGCUAUAUAUUCUGUACGUUCCAAACUCAUCAUGUGUGUUCAACAUCUUCACUAUUAUAUGGACGGCAGUCCUCGUGAAGAUAAUGAUGGCGGUGUCACUACACUCAAAGGUUAAUGAGGGUCUUCUAUCUUCUGGAAUAAUGGGCUCAUAUAUUGUGUUCCUUUGUUGGUCUGCACUGCACAGCGAACCACGAACAGGAAAGUGCUACACUGAGAUGAAAAUUGGCAAGGAUGGUAAUUGGGCUACUAUAAUUAGCUUCAUUAUUGCGAUUUGCUCCAUUGUCUCGGCCACAUUUUCUACGGGAAUCAAUAAUAGAUCCUUUCAAUUUCGAAGCGAUAAGAUCCAGUUGGAAGAGGAUGCCCCCUACAGCUACGAGAUUUUCCACAUUGUGUUUGCGGUGGGGGCUAUGUAUUUCGCAAUGCUAUUCAUAAGCUGGGAGCUUAACCAUCCAAUAACAAGAAAGUGGAGCAUAGAUGUUGGAUGGGCAAGCACAUGGGUAAAGAUCAUGAAUGAAUGGCUGGCAUUUUGCAUAUAUGUUUGGAGACUGAUCUCCCCAGCCCUGGCGAGGAAACAACCUGCCAACGAUGAAGAGUCCGCCUCCACAACAUAG
rnacentral:rRNA from 1 species